ACACAACAUUAAUUUGUUGGUCUUGAUAUCUAGAUGUUUUAGUGACCGGCGUGGACACACCAGAGUCCAGAGACCGCCUUCUUACAACAUCGCCGAACGAACACAGUGAUAGUGACCGCGUUGUUUUGAGGUGACGAGCGGACACGUUGCGGAAGAUAGUACUGUGUACAACACGAACAAACCACACACGCAAAAAACCCCCCAACAACCCAGCCCACGAAGAGGUGAAAAACAGACGAAAAUACAUUGAUAGUUAGGGUUAACGCUGUCGGAUGCACAUUUAUUGCAUUAAAACGUCUGCUGUCACAAGAAUGUGGGCAUUCGGUUAGCCUUGGUCGCAAGUUAUAGAAUCUAGAUUCUAGAUAGCCUAGGCCUACGUCUCAAAAUUGUUUGCUCCAGAUCAACGACCAUGACCCCACUAAGGUCAGAACGAUAACACGCAGUGCCCGGAUACAGCGGGCUGUGCUAGUGAAAUACGUAUUAUUUGGUAGGGAUGAUGGUAUCCACAUAAUUCUCGCUUUGUUGAGACAUUUUUGCAACAAAGGGAUGUCAUGGAAGAAAAAAGUGGUGGUGUUUGAUGUGUGAUAGUCUUAGAUGUCCACGUGUGCCUUUUAAUCAGUUGUUUUUUUGGUGCACAUAGUUCGUGAAAGAGGAGUAAACAACUGAACUUAUCGACUUGUCGCAAGAGCCUAUGGAGUCGCCGACUACUACACUGCUACACAGGAGUGAACAGCAUUGCUACUGAGGCGUUGGAAUUUCAGUUGUGUUUUCGCUUCACUCUAACACCAAGCGAAAUAAGCUUUUAUUUAAAAAGAAAAGCAUUCCGCCAAUACUUUCCCUCUAAAAAAACAACAGAAGGUUUCUGCUGGUUGCAGGUUCGAUGUAUUGCUUUUCUCCGUGGAGCAAGCAGGAAGAUUUUACAUUACCUGGUUUUCGUCUUGACCCGUCUUACCCGUUGACCAGCAGCCAAUGCAGAACGCAGUUCCCCCUGGCUGAGUCCCACUGCUGAGCUGCAGUGUGCCGCGUCGUCGUCGUCGUCGUUGUCGUUAUCGUCAAAGGAUAUAAGGUCGUGAUUCCCCGCCGCACCCCCAACCUGGCUACUUCCGAAGCAGCUGCUUCCCGUUCGAUGAAGACACUUCUGAUGAGCGCCAAAGCUGGGGGAGGCAAGUCGCCUCAGUGUAAAGUGUGCGGAGACGAGUCCUCAGGCUUUCACUAUGGGGUGGACUCCUGCGAGGGUUGUAAGGUACGUCAUGUGACCUAAGUAGCC